rnacentral:rRNA from 1 species
UACAUGGGGUGCAAACGUUGUUCGGAAUCACUGGGCGUAAAGGGUGCGUAGGCGGGUCUUUAAGUCAGGGGGGAAAUCCUGGAGCUCAACCCCAGAACUGCCUUUGAUACUGAGGAUCUUGAGUUCGGGAGAGGUGAGUGGAACUGCGAGUGUAGAGGUGAAAUUCGUAGAUAUUCGCAAGAACACCAGUGGCGAAGGCGGCUCACUGGCCCGAUACUGACGCUGAGGCACGAAAGCGUGGGGAGCAAACAGG